AAUUGAUAAAUCCCUAAUUUCGCGCUUCCUUCCCCUCUACACUAGAAUCGAUCACUCCCUCUUACCUUAAUUUUAGUUCUGAACCCUCUCCGCGACCUCCUUUAACUGCAGUCUCCAUCACAUAUCAUCAACUCCAUCACCUUCAUUUCCCCCUCUUGUGAUGGAUAUUGGAUCUCUAUUUCAGGUUCUAGCUUUAUUGGCUUUUGAUGAUGGUGUGUCAGGUAAUUGCAAUAACUACAAUUGAUUCUGGUAUUAAAGCUCUAGAGGCUAAGGGUUAGCAUUUGAUUUUGUUCUCUCUUUUUAUAAUUGCUUUUCUUGUUUUUCAAUUGAUGAUUGCUUGUGUUUCUACCUGUUUGCAAUUGGCAAUUGAGGAUUUGAGACUGAGAAUUUGAAAAAUUUUGCACACUGUUCUAAUGCGAGGCAAAAGACACGGAGAAAUAGAAUCCAAGAACAAGGGAAACUGACAAUGAAAUAUUGUUCAUUUACUGAAGAAUCAAGUCAUGGAUCAUUAUACCAGUAUCAUUCUUUAUAUGUCUCAAUCUGUAACUAGAACGAAGAUCUCCUGCCCACUUAACAAAUCCCUAACUAAACUCUAACAACUCCUGCAACUACAACUGCUUGUAACAACUCCAGAAUAUGAAUCUUCCUCUCCCUUUUAUUCUUGUUGUGCUAUCGCAUCAUAUUCUGUAAUUCUAAAGAUAUACUAAAUUGAGAGGAAAUUUUGUUCUAUUUCUGAUUGUUUGCAACUGCGGUUCUGUGAUGUAAUUUUUUUCCCCUAUUCUGAGAUUUUGUUGCUUUGCUAUUCAACCAAAAAUUUAAGCUUGUGGAUAAAUCUAACUUAUUAAGUGAAAAUAAAAAUUAAAGCAUGGAAUAAAUAUAAAUUCUUAAAUAUGACGGCAAACUUCAAUAGUUAAAGAGAAAAUUUUUUACCACAUAUAAGUUAAAAGGUUCUCUUUCGGGGGUUGUGGAGCAAGUGCCUGAUUAACAGGAAGGAUCCAUUCCAAGUUAUGUGGGAAAUAUCAUCUUGAUCUUCUACUUGUUUUAGUGCUCUUUGUUUGUCUCUCUUUUAUUAUCAUUUAUUUUAAUGUAAACUGGCUUAAACUUUCAUUGGGCUAGUCGUAAUAUUGAGGAGGAAUUUUUUUCAGGACCAUAGAUACAAUCUGUUUUCUGGACCUCUUCCUCCACAGCUUGGAAACUUGGUUAAUUUGGAACAUCUAUCGGUUGCUUAAACCCUUUCUUAUUAAAUUUGUUUUUAAUUAUAAAGAUAACAUGACAUUGGUUUGUUAUUUGCUUCUUUUUGUUAGAAACAACAUUCUUAAUGCCAACAUGUCACUGGACAGUUAAAUUAGCAAAGUGGUAAGUCCUUUAAACAUCUUUAUAUCAUAUUUAAUUUUUUAGAAGAUCAAUAUAUGUAGGAUUUAUUUAUUUUAAUCUAAUUUUAAUAUUGGGUGUGAAGUUUGAGAGAAAAGAAGAAAUUGAUCUUUAUUGAAUGAGUAAAAACUAACUUUACAGAUUGUUUCUACAUACAUAGAUGUACACCAUGAGCUAGCUACUGUGACUGAAUUGACAACUAAUUUAUUGAAUGAGUAAAAACUAACUUUACAGAUUGUUUCUACAUACAUAGAUGUACACCAUGAGCUAGCUACUGUGACUGAAUUGACAACUAAUUUAUUGAAUGAGUAAAAACUAACUUUACAGAUUGUUUCUACAUACAUAGAUGUACACCAUGAGCUAGCUACUUUGACUGAAUUGACAACUAAUCUAAACUACCAUAACUAAUCAAUUCUGUACACGUGGCUUAUCAAGCUAACAACCUAACUGACUUUGGUGCCAUCUCUGGCUUUGCCUCCUCCGCUUUCUUGCUACUUUGAUCAGCUAAUAUUGGGCCAUAUGCAUUAGUAUUAUUAGCAAUAAUUUCAGUGGAAAAACCUUGUUACAAUAAUGUGAAUAUAGUAAGUGUUUGCCGUCUUGACUUGGACCAACAAGUCUUUCAAUACCCUCCUCCCAAACUCUUUAUACAAGAAUUAAUGCUUAUAUAUAUACACCCCCCCACCCCACCAACACAUACACACAUAAUCAAAAGCCACACCAAGGCUAGAGCAUUCAGAGACAUCCAUCCAAAAUUGCUCAUGGGGAGUUUGAUGAUGAAGAAGCUGUUAUUCUUAAUCUUAAUUGUUGUUGGAUCAAUCUCAUGUUCUCUUGGAGUUGAAUUUGAAAGAUUCCCUUCUGGAAAGGGUAGGAAAGAAAAAAUUGCUUGCCAAUUUAUUAGAAGAGCACAUCCUAAGAGGAGUAGAUACUUCGCUUGUGAAGGUGUCAAGAGAAACCAUAUGAAUGUGAUGGGAAAGUUCUCCACCAAAUAUGAAAAUCUGCUGCCUACAGGUUCCCAGCAAAUUGUUGAUGCCAAUUUAAAAUCUAAUCGGAUGCCAAGACUACACAAAGGACAACUAUAUCAAACGAUUGGAACUCCUCUUUUCUAUGAUCGUGGUAAAGCUGUUCCUAGUGUCAGUGGUCCUGGUCCGCAUGAUUGAUUAUACGGUGUGGAGGAACAGUGUAAGAUGAAAAUAAUGGUAGAGAAUCUAUAUACUGUAUUUGAAACUCUCAAUGAUCUAUAUCUAUGUAUUCCACAUGGAAAUAAUUUAGCACAAUAUAUGCCAAUUUAAAUGCAAAAAAUUUAUAUUUUGC
rnacentral:misc_RNA from 1 species